rnacentral:rRNA from 1 species
UUGAACGCUGGCGGCAGGCUUAACACAUGCAAGUCGAGCGGAGAUGAGGUGCUUGCACCUUAUCUUAGCGGCGGACGGGUGAGUAAUGCUUAGGAAUCUGCCAUUUAGUGGGGGACAACAUUCCGAAAGGAAUGCUAAUACCGCAUACGUCCUACGGGAGAAAGCAGGGGAUCUUCGGACCUUGCGCUAAAUGAUGAGCCUAAGUCGGAUUAGCUAGUUGGUGGGGUAAAGGCCUACAAAGGCGACGAUCUGUAGCGGGUCUGAGAGGAUGAUCCGCCACACUGGGACGGAGACACGGCCCAGACUCCUACGGGAGGCAGCAGUGGGGAAUAUUGGACAAUGGGGGGAACCCUGAUCCAGCCAUGCCGCGUGUGUGAAGAAGGCCUUAUGGUUGUAAAGCACUUUAAGCGAGGAGGAGGCUACUGAGACUAAUACUCUUGGAUAGUGGACGUUACUCGCAGAAUAAGCACCGGCUAACUCUGUG